AGUGAACGCUGGCGGUAGGCCUAACACAUACGAGUCGAACGGCAGCACAGUAAGAGCUUGCUCUUACGGGUGGCGAGUGGCGGACGGGUGAGGAAUACAUCGGAAUCUACUUUUUCGUGGGGGAUAACGUAGGGAAACUUACGCUAAUACCGCAUACGACCUACGGGUGAAAGAAGGGGAUCUUCGGACCUUGCGCGAUUGAAUGAGCCGAUGUCGGAUUAGCUAGUUGGCGGGGUAAAGGCCCACCAAGGCGACGAUCCGUAGCUGGUCUGAGAGGAUGAUCAGCCACACUGGAACUGAGACACGGUCCAGACUCCUACGGGAGGCAGCAGUGGGGAAUAUUGGACAAUGGGCGCAAGCCUGAUCCAGCCAUACCGCGUGGGUGAAGAAGGCCUUCGGGUUGUAAAGCCCUUUUGUUGGGAAAGAAAAGCAGCAGGUUAAUACCCCGCUGUUCUGACGGUACCCAAAGAAUAAGCACCGGCUAACUUCGUG
rnacentral:rRNA from 1 species